CAAGUCGACGAGAUUAUUUUUUUGUUUACAAAGAAAUGAUUGCAGUGGCGGACGGGUGAGGAACACGUAAGAACUUACCUUUUGGCGGGGGAUAACAACGGGAAACUGUUGCUAAUACCCCAUAAUGCUGAGGAGCGAAAGGGAAACUGCCAAAAGAGAGGCUUGCGUCUGAUUAGCUAGUUGGCGGAGGUAAAUGCUCCCCAAGGCGACGAUCAGUAGCUGGUCUGAGAGGAUGAUCAGCCACACUGGGACUGAGACACGGCCCAGACUCCUACGGGAGGCAGCAGUGGGGAAUUUUCCACAAUGGGCGAAAGCCUGAUGGAGCAAUACCGCGUGAAGGAUGAAGGAUCGUGGUCCGUAAACUUCUUUUCUUAACGAAGAAAAUCUGACGGUAGUUAAGGAAUAAGCACCGGCUAACUCCGUGCCAGCAGCCGCGGUAAUACGGGGGGUGCAAGCGUUGUCCGGAAUGAUUGGGCGUAAAGCAUCUGUAGGUGGUUUUUAAAGUCGACUGUUAAAGCCCAGGGCUCAACUUUGGAUAAGCGGUCGAGUACUUAAGGACUUGAGUAUGGUAGGGGUAGAGGGAAUUCCUAGUGGAGCGGUGAAAUGCACAGAGAUUAGGAAGAACACCGAGGGCGAAAGCACUCUACUGGGCCAUGACUGACACUGAGAGAUGAAAGUUGGGGGAGCGAAAAGGAUUAGGUACCCUUGUAGUCCCAACCGUAAACGAUGGAUACUAAGUGCUGACAAAAUCAGUGCUGUAGCUAACGCGUUAAGUAUCCCGCCUGGGGAGUAUGCUCGCAAGAGUGAAACUCAAAGGAAUUGACGGGAACUGGCAUAAGCGGUGGAUUAUGCGGUUUAAUUCGAUGAU
rnacentral:rRNA from 1 species